AAGAUGGCGCUGGGCCCCUGCAGGGCUGGAAUAAACAACUCCAUAUAGGGUCAUAACCAGAAUCACCAGUUCGAGCAUGCGCAGUGUCCUCAGCUUGCUGGACCAAUCAGGGAGCCUGAGGUGGUUGCGAGGGGUGCUCGACCAAUAGGACGGUUGCACGCUGCCUCAGUUUCUAUAUAAGCAGUUUCCCUGCUCGGCGUCUCUCGCUUCCUGCUCUCCCUUCAACCAAGAGGCUCCAAUAAAACGCGACCCCUACUGGUACCGAGCGAGGGACUGCAGAGGAUUCAGAACCCGACACGUGGAGCGGCGAUGUCGGAAAUUGGUCUGAAGAUUUUGAUGUUGCCCUGGAGGACCUUAGAUGUGCAGUAGUUUUGAUCAAUUCCACGCGCGUGGAUCUCAGCUUAGCGGAGGGACUACAGUCCUGGAUCUCCUCUGCUUUCUCCCUGUUCAAGGAUUGGGUGGGGGUAGGUCCACGCAUCAUGAGGUGAAGACCUGAUCGGGAAUAAGACCUGACUUGGCCCUGAAGGAAACAAGAAAGGGGAACUGCAGGGAGCCAUGAGGUGUGGCCGACAUUCCAAGAUGGCGCUGGGCCCCUGCAGGGCUGGAGUAAACAACUCCAUAUAGGGUCAUAACCCGAAUCACCAGCUCGAGCAUGCGCAGUGUCUUCAGCUUGCUGGG